GAUGAAGAACGUAGCGAAAUGCGAUAAGUAAUGUGAAUUGCCGAAUUCAGUGAAUCAUCGAAUCUUUGAACGCACAUUGCGCCCCUUGGUAUUCCGAGGGGCAUGCCUGUUCGAGCGUCAUUAUAACCCCUCAAGCUCAGCUUGGUGUUGGGGCCUGCUGCACUGGCAGCCCUUAAAAUCAGUGGCGGCGCCAUCUGGCUCUAAGCGUAGUAAUUCUUCUCGCUAUGGAGUCCUGGUGGAUGCUUGCCAUCAACCCCCAAUUUUUCUAUGGUUGACCUCGGAUCAGGUAGGGAUACCCGCUGAACUUAAGCAUAUCAAUAAGCGGAGGA
rnacentral:misc_RNA from 1 species